UGGGGAAUAUUGCGCAAUGGGCGAAAGCCUGACGCAGCAACGCCGCGUGAGUGAUGAAGGCCUUCGGAUCGUAAACCCCUGUCGAAUGGGACGAAUAGCUUUCGGGUUAAUACCCCGGAGGAAUGACGGUACCGUUAAAGGAAGCCACGGCUAACUCUGUGCCAGCAGCCGCGGUAAUACAGAGGUGGCAAGCGUUGUUCGGAAUUACUGGGCGUAAAGGGCGCGUAGGCGGCCUCCUAAGUCGGACGUGAAAGCCCCAGGCUUAACCUGGGAACUGCGUCCGAUACUGGGAGGCUUGGAUUCGGGAGAGGGAUGUGGAAUUCCAGGUGUAGCGGUGAAAUGCGUAGAUAUCUGGAGGAACACCGGUGGCGAAGGCGGCAUCCUGGACCGAGAUCGACGCUGAGGCGCGAAAGCUAGGGGAGCAAACGGGAUUAGAUACCCUUGUAGUCCCUGAGCGGGCUGGCAAGGCGCAU
rnacentral:rRNA from 1 species